rnacentral:rRNA from 1 species
GAUGAACGCUGACAGAAUGCUUAACACAUGCAAGUCUUUGGCAAAUCUGUGCUUGCACAGCCUAGCCAAGGCGGACGGGUGAGUAACGCGUAAAGAACUUGCCCUGCAGAUAGGGAUAACAGACGGAAACGACUGAUAACACCUGAUACAAUUGCCGGCACGCAUGUGCCUGGCAAUGAAAAGAGAUGCUGCAGGAGAGCUGUGCGUCCUAUUAGCUUGUUGGUGAGGUAACGGCUCACCAAGGCGAUGAUAGGUAGCCGGCCUGAGAGGGUGAACGGCCACAAGGGGACUGAGAUACGGCCCUUACUCCUACGGGAGGCAGCAGUGGGGAAUAUUGGACAAUGGGGGCAACCCUGAUCCAGCAAUUCUGUGUGCACGAAGAAGGUUUUCGGAUUGUAAAGUGCUUUCAGCAGGGAAGAAGAAAGUGACGGUACCUGCAGAAGAAGCGACGGCUAAAUACGUGCCAGCAGCCGCGGUAAUACGUAUGUCGCAAGCGUUAUCCGGAAUUAUUGGGCAUAAAGGGCAUCUAGGCGGCCAGACAAGUCUGGGGUGAAAACUUGCGGCUCAACCGCAAGCCUGCCCUGGAAACUGUUUGGCUAGAGUGCUGGAGAGGUGGACGGAACUGCACGAGUAGAGGUGAAAUUCGUAGAUAUGUGCAGGAAUGCCGAUGAUGAAGAUAGUUCACUGGACGGCAACUGACGCUGAAGUGCGAAAGCUAGGGGAGCGAACAGG